ACCAAAUCAUACAUGCACAGAAUUCAAUUUCAGUCCCCAUCCUUCCCCUUUCCCUCCCUCCCUCCUUCCCCGUAUUUAUUCUCCUUCUAUUCUGAUCUUUCUUUUGCUCAUUUAUUUAUCUUCGGUUGGUACUUUCUAUGUAUACAUAAGGUUGAAAUUUCCUGUGGAAUAAUUAUAUAGGCGUAUAACAUGAUUUUGUUAAAUCCAUUCCAUGUUUCCUGCCCCUUCCUCUCCUCCCUCCCUCCCUCUCCAUCUCUUUCUUCUACUUCUCCUCCACUGAUUGGCCAUUUAUCUUGCUGAGUUGCUUAGAGCCUAAGUUGCUGAGGCUGGCUUUGAAUUUGCCAUCCUCCUAACUCAGCCUCCCAAGCCGCGGGGAUACAGGUGUGCGCCACCGUGCGCUGCCUGGUCUCCCCUUUAUCUUUAUGAUACCUGAACCCUGGCAACCUGCCUUCUUUGCAAAUUCGACCCUUGAUUUUUUGGAGUCCGACUCAUUUCACUUAGCGUGAUGUUCUCCAUUUCCAUCCGUUUGCUGGCUAAUGCCAUAAUUUCAUUAUUUUUUAUGGUGGAGUAAAACUCUGUUGUGCAUAUAUACUGCAUUUUUAUAUAUGACAUCAUUAUCUUAAUUUUUUUAAAAAAAUCUCAAUAUUCUUGUAGGGUAAUUGCCCAUACAUUGGGGGCUGGGAUUGGUGGUGAACCAACAAAGGGGAUAGAACUUGAGAAGUUAGCACAAAACUGAGGGAAGCAGAUGUACAGGAACAGACCAUGCCACUCCUCUGGGGACAAUAGGGGUCAAGUGCUGGUGAGUCCUGCUUGGGAGGCACAGGGGAAGUGUCUCUCAGGAAAUCACCUAGACUUCGGAUCCCGUCUUCUUGCAUUCAUUCUAGAGGGGUGAGGUCUGAAGACACAGGGGAGCCUGGGGCCUUAUGCUCCUUGAAGUUCAGGAGGAUGCCAGAAACAGAUUCUGGGCACUCCAGCGCUGAGGGCUGCUCUCCAGGGAAAGGCCUGCAGUUUAAAAUUACAUCCACCAGGUGGCGCAAAAGCCCCAGUUUAUAUUGGUGUUGAGUCCCUGAGUAAGAUAUCCUCAUUUUCCUCUGAUUCUUCUGAGGACUCAGAUGCGCAUUCUGAUAAGUCAUCUCCCAUCUGCUGGAAACUUCCUGACUGUACAUCCCAUGGUUAUUUGGCGGUCAUCUUGAAUUCAGCCAUCUCAUAUCCAAAAAGCUUUAGGACACAAGCCUGCUCCAGGGUCAGCACAUCACCUUUUGUGCACACCUGGUAUUCAGACAGCAGGGUCACCACACCUCUCUUGAGGGCAAUGGUCAGGCCCCGCUACCUCAGCUGUGGCUCCAUGGAGUGGGGGAACUGCUCCUGGGGCACUGGAUCCAGGCUCAGGGUGAAAGUUGCUUUGUUGCCAGCAGAGGCAAGUCCAUUUCUGUGUAUGUUGUGAACCACUCAUUCAUCUCCUCCUUUGUAUGGUCCGUAAAAAAGAGACCAACUUCCCCCCUCAACUUCUUGCUCAUCUGGUGCAGGCUGUCUCUAUCCUUAUCAGACAAGUUUCUACCCAAGACCCACUCAUCGCCUUGUUUUUGCCAAAAAACUUUGGCUAUGUUUCCAGGUAUUCCUGAUGUCCUUAGGCUUACUGUUCCUCAUGUUGGCCACAGAGAAAAUGAAGAGGUACUUGUAUAUGUCCACACAUUUCCAAAUCUUUGGGACAAUUGAUGAGGUUCUGGAGUUCAAGGAGCAGCAUGGGUAGAGCAACUGUGGCCUCAGAGGGAGAAAACCUGCUUUUUUUUUCCUUUGCUAGCAGGGAUUAAAUCCUGGGGGACUUAAUCACUGAGCAACAUCCCCAGCCCUUUUUAUUAAUUUUUUUAUUUAAAGACAGAUUCUCACUAAAUUGCUUAGGGCCUUGCUAAGUUGCUGAGGCUGGCUUUGAACUUGUUAUCCUCCUGCCUCAACCUCCCAAUUACAGAUGUGUGCCACCAUGUCUGGCUUCUAGGACUUUAAUCUGGUGUCUCCUCACUGCCUUUUACUUGCACCAGAGCUACUAAUUAUAGGAGAAGCCAAGCCAUGGAUUUAGACCCAUGGUCUUUCCCAGGCUUCUGACUUAUCUGUGACCAACAAUGGAAUCAAUCCUAUGGUCCUGCUUUGCUCAUUUAUUGGUAAUCUAGAAACACUUACCUGCACCAAGAAGAUUACAGCUAAAUGGAAAUGUAAGGAGCCUUGUUAUCUUCUGAUAAAGGGAGGCAGCUUAUCUGCACUGCUCUACCUGUAUUGCAGGCCAAAGGCGUAAGGAGGUAGACUUCCAUUCUCUCUCUAUAUAUCAAUUUAUCUUUUGGUAGGAGGUAUGAACUCAGGGGUGCUUAACCACUGAGUCAUAUCUCCAGCCCUUUUUAUACUUUAUUUUGAGACAGGGUCUCGCUAAGUUGUUUAUGGCUUUGCUAAAUUGCUGAGCUGGUUUUGAACUCACAAUCCUCCUGCCCCAGCCUCCUGAGCUGCUGGGAUUACAGGUGUGUGCCACCAGGCCUGGUAUAGAAUUCCAUUCUUAGGGAAUGAAAUCUCUGUCCAGCAGGAGACUGGCUGCUUUCUACCUGCUACACCCCAGGGUAAGCGGGUCAGAAGCAGUACAGAUGGGUGGGUGCAGCCACUUGCACCUGCAGCUGGUAACUAGCUGGUCUUUUGACUUUGGGCAGGCAAACAAAACCUGGCUAAGCUUCAGUUGCCUAAACAACAAAACAGUAAUAAUAUAAUUUAAUUCCUAAAUAACAGGAAUGCUAGGAGGAUGGUGUGGAACAAUAAAUGGGAAAUAAAUGAGACACUUGGCACAGCACUGGGCACAUAGGAAGGGCUCAAUCAAAGCCAGAAAUCUUCACAAUGGGACUUUUUAUUGGUACUGUUGAUGCUAAUUAAAAAGGGGCUCAAUCCUUUCCUCUUCCAUCAGGUUCUAUUUCAGUUCCAAGCCUUUCUUGGUGGUUUUGGUUAAGGAAACUUUCUUGUUGGGCUUGGAUUUCAGCAUCUCACUGAAGCCAUGUGCAGCAGAUGGCAGUGUGGCCCAAUAUGAUUUAAUAGAAAUCUUUUUUCUGUCCCCCCAGUGAAAGUUUUUUUUUCAGACAAAAAUGAGUUUGGUUCUCCUUCCUCUUCACAUUAUAGCUGCUCUUUGAGGCCCCGGCCUAUCUGGGGUAUGUUCAGGGAGAAGGAGGAAGAUAAAAUUAAAAACAGGAAGUGUCUUACUGGCAGUUAAAUGUUUGUGUUCUCUGGGUCUGGAUGAUGCUCAGAGCAAAGCUUUUCUCUUGUGUAAGCUUUUGAAACCUUUCAGAUUUCCUUACAGCUCAUGUCUGGUGUAUAGGAAACUCUGAAGUAUAUUUUGUGUCCACAAACUCUGGAAGAACAAACCAUUACCAGUGCAGUCACCUUUUCCAGGAUCCACCAACCAGGCUAUGUGCCUUGCCUUCUGGAUUUCCUGGGCAAGAUAAGAAACUUGACUCCAUUGCCCCAAACCACCCAACUUCAUGUCAGGUAGAAGAAACUCUUGGUUCCCUUAGGAAACAGUUGAAUUAAAUUCCAGGCAAGUUGGGAUAAUCCCUUUCCCACAUACUUUGUGGGUAAAGGAUAAAAUUCAUAGAAAGAGCAAACCUAUUCAAGGAUAUCCUAAAUAUGAUCCAUGCAAUUCUCUCUGACCACCUUUGGUCAGUGGAGACAGAAUAACAAAAACUUGUUUUCUCCAUUAUUUCGGGCAUUCUGCAGAAAAAAGUAAAGAAUAGUUUUCACAAGUUCAUAAAAAGAUAUCUGUGCUAAGAUACCCUUUAGUCAGGAUAAAAUUUGGGGAGUGUAGUUCUGAGAAAUGACUCUAACCAGACAACAGUGCCAAGAAACAUAUUCACUCCUGACAUAAUUUUUCUGGACUUAUGCAGCAUUAUUUAGAAAUGGUUAUAUAUUAAGCAUGAUCUAUGUUUAUUUAUGAGUCUUGUGAGAACACCUGUAUAGCAGCCUUUUUCUACAUUUACUCUCUGUAAAGGGUAUGUAUAAAUUUGAAGAUGUUGGGCUGGGGAUAUGGCUCAAGUGGUAGCGCGCUCGCCUGGCAUGCGUGCGGCCCGGGUUCGAUCCUCAGCACCACAUACAAACAAAGAUGUUGUGUCCACCGAAAACUAAAAAAUAAAUAUUAAAA
rnacentral:lncRNA from 1 species